CACGUAGGGGGCAAGCGUUGUCCGGAAUUAUUGGGCGUAAAGAGCUCGUAGGCGGCUCGGUAAGUCAGGUGUCAAAUCCUCAGGCUCAACCUGGGGCUCCACCUGAUACUGCUGUGGCUAGAGUCCGGUAGGGGAGCGUGGAAUUCCUAGUGUAGCGGUGAAAUGCGCAGAUAUUAGGAGGAACACCGGUGGCGAAGGCGCCACUCUGGGCCGAAAACUGACGCUGAGGAGCGAAAGCAUGGGUAGCAAACAGG
rnacentral:rRNA from 1 species